GGGGACGCCGAGGAGAACAACUUUCCUCAAAGCGGGCCUAGCAUCCGGGCUCGGGAAGGCGGCCAAAACGAGCCAAACGUCCGCUGCAUACCCAUUUUCCAACUCUCUGAUCGCUGCUGGUUGGGGCCGAAAAUGAGCAGAUCCGGGGCUGGUUGGGGUCGGGAAUGGGCGGAGGAGCUGAACCGGACCUAGGCGGGGCUUCACGGUGGCCGGAGGUGAGCUGGGCGGCUCCGGCUGAGCUUCCCCAGAUCUGGAAAUGACUGCUGGACUCGCGGAACAGCAGGGACGAGCAGGCUUGCUGCGCGAGGACGGCGGGGUGUCGCGAGAGGCGGACGGCGGCAAGCGGGGCGCG
rnacentral:lncRNA from 1 species